rnacentral:SRP_RNA from 1 species
UGUGCUAGAUGGGGAGUUAGCGGUGCCCUGUAACUUGCAAUCCGCUAUAGCAAGAUUGAACACCUACCGAGGCUUUAACUUUGUAUAGUCUGCCUUAGGCAAGUGAUGUUGAGAGUUGGGUCCCAUGCAAUGAAAGCCUGCGAACCUGGUCAGAUCCGGAAGGAAGCAGCCAUAAGCAGUCUCUUUCAUGUGCCAUGGUCAAAUCUGGCUUGAGUUAACUACUUAAGUAACGUAUAUGGAUUAUUGUCAGAGUAGGUGCAUG